ACAGGGAUAACUGGCUUG
rnacentral:ncRNA from 2 species